CACGGCCACUCUGAAGGCGGUGGCAGGGCGAGUGGGACAGGGCUGACCGCGAGACAGCAGCCAGGUCUUCUGAGGGUUCUGUGGGAUGCUGCCAGGGCCCCGGGUGGGGUUACUCUCAGCCCCAACCCCUGCUGUCCUCUGUGUCAUGGUAUGGGGCAGGGCCCUGAUUGAGAAAGUUCAAGUUUUGUCCCAGUUUUCCCUUAAAGAUGCAGAACUUGGAGCUGGCCAUCCCACUGCCCAACGUCUAGUGUCACUCUGUGGUUAUAGGGAUGGCGCUCCGGUCUGUUCUGCCUCCUGUGAGAAGUUUGUUGUUUCGAAGGAGUGAUAUUAUGGGUGCUAGACUGCUUUGUACGUGUGCGCUUCUCAACAGCAACCAACAGCUGUGGGCACAGUGCGGGGUGCCAAUGCAUAGUACUAUAUGGAGAUGUGUGGUUCAGUACUGUGCAGAGUACUGAAUGCACAGUGCCUGUGGAGUGCUGGAUGCACAGUGCCUGUGGAGUGCCGGACGCACAGUGCCUUGUGAGGUGCUGGACGCACAGUGCCUUGUGAGGUGCUGGACGCACAGUGCCUGUGGAGUGCCGGAUGCACAGUGCUGUACAGAGUACACUCCCACUGUUCUACCCGAAAGGCGUGGCACAGAGUGGUGAGUACAGUGAGUACAGUGGCCGAAGGCUGGCUCCCAGGGUGCUGACCAAAGUUCCUGGAUCCUUUUGCCAGGAAAGUGUCCAAGAGAGGGGCGGGGUCAGCACGUGGCGCCUGUUGGCUGACUUGGAGGAGCGUGGCUUGUGUGAGCCACGCAGGAAGCGUUUGGUUUGUUGCCCUGUUGUUCCAAGCUGAAUGCGAACACUGGAAGACUGGCCUGAAGCCUUGAGGCCCUGGUGCUGCGCUUUAACUACUCAGGGUCAUAGUUUGUGAUUUCUUGGGUUUCACUCAGAUGAAUCCAACUUUAAUGUUCAUUUACCUGAAAGGCAUAGUGACAGAGGCAAGCAGAGACUGGCCGUGUGAGCAGGGGGCUGGGUCAGAAGUGGGGCAGGACUGAAGUCUAUACUCCCGUGGGGCGUCUCUCACAGCUCCAGCCCAGAUCCAACUUCUAAGCUAACUUUGAAUAAGAAGGCAAUAAUUAAGAUGUGCAUUCAUCUUUU